GGUUAAGCGACUAAGCGUACACGGUGGAUGCCCUGGCAGUCAGAGGCGAUGAAGGACGUGCUAAUCUGCGAUAAGCGUCGGUAAGGUGAUAUGAACCGUUAUAACCGGCGAUUUCCGAAUGGGGAAACCCAGUGUGAUUCGUCACACUAUCAUUAACUGAAUCCAUAGGUUAAUGAGGCGAACCGGGGGAACUGAAACAUCUAAGUACCCCGAGGAAAAGAAAUCAACCGAGAUUCCCCCAGUAGCGGCGAGCGAACGGGGAGCAGCCCAGAGCCUGAAUCAGUGUGUGUGUUAGUGGAAGCGUCUGGAAAGGCGUGCGAUACAGGGUGACAGCCCCGUACACAAAAAUGCACAUACUGUGAGCUCGAUGAGUAGGGCGGGACACGUGGUAUCCUGUCUGAAUAUGGGGGGACCAUCCUCCAAGGCUAAAUACUCCUGACUGACCGAUAGUGAACCAGUACCGUGAGGGAAAGGCGAAAAGAACCCCGGCGAGGGGAGUGAAAAAGAACCUGAAACCGUGUACGUACAAGCAGUGGGAGCACGCUUAGGCGUGUGACUGCGUACCUUUUGUAUAAUGGGUCAGCGACUUAUAUUCUGUAGCAAGGUUAACCGAAUAGGGGAGCCGAAGGGAAACCGAGUCUUAACUGGGCGUUAAGUUGCAGGGUAUAGACCCGAAACCCGGUGAUCUAGCCAUGGGCAGGUUGAAGGUUGGGUAACACUAACUGGAGGACCGAACCGACUAAUGUUGAAAAAUUAGCGGAUGACUUGUGGCUGGGGGUGAAAGGCCAAUCAAACCGGGAGAUAGCUGGUUCUCCCCGAAAGCUAUUUAGGUAGCGCCUCGUGAAUUCAUCUCCGGGGGUAGAGCACUGUUUCGGCAAGGGGGUCAUCCCGACUUACCAACCCGAUGCAAACUGCGAAUACCGGAGAAUGUUAUCACGGGAGACACACGGCGGGUGCUAACGUCCGUCGUGAAGAGGGAAACAACCCAGACCGCCAGCUAAGGUCCCAAAGUCAUGGUUAAGUGGGAAACGAUGUGGGAAGGCCCAGACAGCCAGGAUGUUGGCUUAGAAGCAGCCAUCAUUUAAAGAAAGCGUAAUAGCUCACUGGUCGAGUCGGCCUGCGCGGAAGAUGUAACGGGGCUAAACCAUGCACCGAAGCUGCGGCAGCGACGCUUAUGCGUUGUUGGGUAGGGGAGCGUUCUGUAAGCCUGUGAAGGUGUGCUGUGAGGUAUGCUGGAGGUAUCAGAAGUGCGAAUGCUGACAUAAGUAACGAUAAAGCGGGUGAAAAGCCCGCUCGCCGGAAGACCAAGGGUUCCUGUCCAACGUUAAUCGGGGCAGGGUGAGUCGACCCCUAAGGCGAGGCCGAAAGGCGUAGUCGAUGGGAAACAGGUUAAUAUUCCUGUACUUGGUGUUACUGCGAAGGGGGGACGGAGAAGGCUAUGUUGGCCGGGCGACGGUUGUCCCGGUUUAAGCGUGUAGGCUGGUUUUCCAGGCAAAUCCGGAAAAUCAAGGCCGAGGCGUGAUGACGAGGCACUACGGUGCUGAAGCAACAAAUGCCCUGCUUCCAGGAAAAGCCUCUAAGCAUCAGGUAACAUCAAAUCGUACCCCAAACCGACACAGGUGGUCAGGUAGAGAAUACCAAGGCGCUUGAGAGAACUCGGGUGAAGGAACUAGGCAAAAUGGUGCCGUAACUUCGGGAGAAGGCACGCUGAUACGUAGGUGAAGCGACUUGCUCGUGGAGCUGAAAUCAGUCGAAGAUACCAGCUGGCUGCAACUGUUUAUUAAAAACACAGCACUGUGCAAACACGAAAGUGGACGUAUACGGUGUGACGCCUGCCCGGUGCCGGAAGGUUAAUUGAUGGGGUUAGCGCAAGCGAAGCUCUUGAUCGAAGCCCCGGUAAACGGCGGCCGUAACUAUAACGGUCCUAAGGUAGCGAAAUUCCUUGUCGGGUAAGUUCCGACCUGCACGAAUGGCGUAAUGAUGGCCAGGCUGUCUCCACCCGAGACUCAGUGAAAUUGAACUCGCUGUGAAGAUGCAGUGUACCCGCGGCAAGACGGAAAGACCCCGUGAACCUUUACUAUAGCUUGACACUGAACAUUGAGCCUUGAUGUGUAGGAUAGGUGGGAGGCUUUGAAGUGUGGACGCCAGUCUGCAUGGAGCCGACCUUGAAAUACCACCCUUUAAUGUUUGAUGUUCUAACGUGGACCCGUGAUCCGGGUUGCGGACAGUGUCUGGUGGGUAGUUUGACUGGGGCGGUCUCCUCCUAAAGAGUAACGGAGGAGCACGAAGGUUGGCUAAUCCUGGUCGGACAUCAGGAGGUUAGUGCAAUGGCAUAAGCCAGCUUGACUGCGAGCGUGACGGCGCGAGCAGGUGCGAAAGCAGGUCAUAGUGAUCCGGUGGUUCUGAAUGGAAGGGCCAUCGCUCAACGGAUAAAAGGUACUCCGGGGAUAACAGGCUGAUACCGCCCAAGAGUUCAUAUCGACGGCGGUGUUUGGCACCUCGAUGUCGGCUCAUCACAUCCUGGGGCUGAAGUAGGUCCCAAGGGUAUGGCUGUUCGCCAUUUAAAGUGGUACGCGAGCUGGGUUUAGAACGUCGUGAGACAGUUCGGUCCCUAUCUGCCGUGGGCGCUGGAGAACUGAGGGGGGCUGCUCCUAG
rnacentral:rRNA from 2 species